UAUCUGUAGUGUUGGACCCAGACUGGGUUGGUGGUGGUACCUGAGAGCACACCAGACUCGGGGGAAAAAGCAUGCUCCACAGGAAGCUGAGGCAUGCUGUUUCACAGCCAGGGCUUCCAUGUGCGGUUUUCCUCUGAUAGGUCCUGGGUACUGUUGCCAUGGUGAUAGCGGCUGUGCCGUGUCAUUAUUGAUCCACCAAUAGUCAGAGAAGCUUUGCAGUCAGGAUAUUGUUUGGUAGACAGAGUGGUUUCUGAUGGACACUAAUUCCUUCCACAAAA
rnacentral:snoRNA from 1 species